rnacentral:rRNA from 1 species
ACUCCUACGGGAGGCAGCAGUGGGGAAUCUUGGACAAUGGGCGCAAGCCUGAUCCAGCCAUGCCGCGUGAGUGAUGAAGGCCUUAGGGUCGUAAAGCUCUUUCGCCAGGGAUGAUAAUGACAGUACCUGGUAAAGAAACCCCGGCUAACUCCGUGCCAGCAGCCGCGGUAAUACGGAGGGGGUUAGCGUUGUUCGGAAUUACUGGGGCGUAAAGCGCGCGUAGGCGGGGUUGUUAAGUUAGAGGUGAAAUCCCGGGGGCUCAACCCCGGAACUGCCUUUAAUACUGGCAACCUAGAGUUCGAGAGAGGUGAGUGGAAUUCCGAGUGUAGAGGUGAAAUUCGUAGAUAUUCGGAGGAACACCAGUGGCGAAGGCGGCUCACUGGCUCGAUACUGACGCUGAGGUGCGAAAGUGUGGGGAGCAAACAGGAUUAGAUACCCUGGUAGGAUAGCG